UGCGCACUUCAAUAUAGUUGCCUUUGGUAGC
rnacentral:piRNA from 1 species